AGAAACAUAAACAGGCCCUUUUGCCGGCUGAACUGGGCUUCCCUUCAGUGGAAGCCUUUGUGGACUCUCUUGGCGGGGAUCUGUUGGUGGAAGAUGGUGUAAUCUUUCACAAAACCAACAUAGUUCUUUCAGAUGAAGACUUUCAAAAGACGUGCAGAAAUGUUGUGGAUUUGGUAAAAAGCCACCAGGAAGGCAUUCCUCUUUCAAAACUAGCAGCAUUUAUAAAAGUGAAUAUGGGAGGCCUCUGAUAAAGAAAGAACUUGGCAUCUCAUCGAUAGCAGAUUUCGUUGACUCUCUGAACCCAGAGCUAUAUGUAAUAAAUGGCCAAAUUUUCUACAGGAUUGCCAAGGCUAAAGCUUCAAGCCAUACAGCACCACCCGUGCAUGUUAAUGGGGUUUUUAAAGAAGUUGUGGAGCUGGUUAAGAACCAUCCCACAGGCAUUCCUCUUAGGAAGUUGUCCAUGUUUUACAGUCAAGAGUAUCGGCGUAACCUCACCGUGUCAGAGUUUGGUUUCAGAACAAUCACCUCCUUCGUUGUUUCUCUGAGCGAUGAG